GUUAGGAAUAUUGGACAAUGGGCGCAAGCCUGAUCCAGCCAUGCCGCGUGAGUGAUGAAGGCCUUCGGGUUGUAAAGCUCUUUAGUCCACGAAUAUAAUGACUGUAGUGGAAGAAUAAGCCCCGGCUAACUUCGUGCCAGCAGCCGCGGUAAUACGAAGGGGGCGAGCGUUAUUCGGAAUCACUGGGCGUAAAGCGUGCGUAGGCUGUUUUGUAAGUCAGAAGUGAAAGCCAAGGGCUUAACCCUGGAAUUGCUUUUGAAACUACAAGACUCGAAUUCGGGAGAGGAUAGCGGAAUUGUCAGUGUAGCAGUGAAAUGCGUAGAUAUUGACAGGAACACCAGUGGCGCAAGCGGCUAUCUGGACCGAUAUUGACGCUGAGGCACGAAAGCGUGGGGAGCAAACAGGAUUAGAAACCCCGGUAGUCC
rnacentral:rRNA from 1 species